AUAGUUGCACUCGAGCAAGCGUUCAUAAAUGACCGACCGACCGCCUAUAGUGCGUCGCGUUGUGAGUGUGUGAACGCAAAAUAUACAUCACAAGAAACACAAAAGAGGGUAAAAAAGAGCAGCGCAUACAAGGAAAAUCGAUUAUGGCAAGAAAACUGCAGCAACCUGUCGACAAUUUAACAAAUGCAACGCUAUAUGGACAAUAUUUAAAGCUAAUACAACGUUAUUAACAAUGAGAAUGCCCACAACUAGUUAAAAAAAAGAAUGUAUGAAGGUAUUCUGUUAUCGCCGAACCAACAAAAACCAAGAUGGCAGCGAAUAUGGAGUAUACGGCGAAUUGCGUAGAAGAAAGAAUGGCGGAAAUUGUGAGAUACACACGGCAUGGCAUACAUACAAACAAACAUAUGUAUAUGCGGAGCGAACUAUUUAUAAAAAAAAAAGUAAUGUCAAGCUAUUUUGUUACAAUAACAAGAAACGACGUAUAGCAAAUUUAACAGUGCAACAGUAGUUGAAAUGUUGUCAUUAGCAUUGAAUAACACACAAGCCAGCAUACA